GCCUGCUUUGGCAGUGCAUAUACUAAAAUUGGAAUGACACAGAGAAGAUUAGCAUAAUCCCUGUGCAAGAGUGACACCCAAAUUCGUGAAGCACCAAAAUAAUAU
ensembl:snRNA U6 U6 spliceosomal RNA